GGAGUGUGCCUUUCAGGCAUCCUCUCCUAAAAACUUUUCGGCCGGUCAUUGACCGGCCUUUUUUUUUGGCCCG
rnacentral:sRNA from 1 species